GUUGGGGAUCACUAUGGAGUUCAGUCUUCUCACCAGCCAGAGGAGCGACAGAUGUGUUCACCGCUUUUCCCAAAAAGGAAACCAAGGCUUAGCACAGUCAACUUGCCCAAAGUCAGCUAACUUACAAGCAGUAGCCAGGAUUCAAGAACUUUCUGCUUUUCUACUUGACCACCCUGCAACAUAACCAACAUAACAAAUCUAAGGGGAAGUCAGAGACAGAUGCACACAGGAAGGACACCAUGUGAAGAGACACAGGAGGAAGACAGCCAGCUACAAGCCAAGGACAAAGGCCUGGGACAGAUCCUUCCCUCAGAAGGGAC